GUGUUAAAGGAUGAUUUGAAAUUGACUAUAGUGGCAUAUAAUAAUUUAGUACAUAUAUUAAUAGUAUGAUUAUAAAAUGGUGUGGAUAAAAGGGAAAAUAAUUAUUAGGACCAAACUGAAAUAUUAAAAAUGUACUAUGACUUUAACUAAAAUCAAAAUCCUGUACAUGUUUUAUUUUUCAAGAAUUUAUCGAUUUUGUUUUCUUUGAAAAAAAAAAAUGUUUAGUGUUGU
rnacentral:misc_RNA from 1 species